CUCUUUCUAGUAUGAAACUAGUACAUGUGACUUCCAAUCACUAAGUCUUGGUUAAACCCCAAGGAAAGAAA
rnacentral:tRNA from 1 species